CUCCUUAUCCCUUCACACGCACGCCUAGCCAUCGAAGCCGCCGCAUGCCACUCCGCAAAUCACCGCCGCAAGCCUGAGGGCCUCAUGCCGCCGCCGCUUGCCCCUUUCUCUGUAGAUCACCGACGCAACCCUGGGCCCCGGGGUCAUUCCCUCCUCCCCACGAUGCUGGAGGAGGCCCGAGGAGGCGGCCAUGAGGAGCGCGCAACCGCCAAAGCCAUGGGCAGAUCCAGCCAGCAUCGUCGGCAGCCAUCCCUCCCUCCGGCGGCCAUGAAGAAUUGAAUAGGCUUGAGCAGAACAAGCGCAUGGACGGUGCGCACCUCCCGCGAUAGGAGGUCCUCGUCAUCUGCUCGCAUCCACGAGGAAUCGGUCCAUAUCUAAAUAGGUCUGCCGAGUGUCAACUUCGGCAAAGGCUUGCCCCUUUGCCUAGUGUUGCACUCAGCAAACUACGUCCAUCAGAUUGGGUAGUAGAUAUUAUGAAGAGCAACACGGACAUCUUCUUUACUGACGGAAUGUUUGCGGGGAGCUCGGUUAGUGUCGAUGCCCCAAGGGCUUAUGCAUAGCAAUUCCAUGCUGCUUAAAGCCACAGUAAUCAUGGCUACCGGUUUCCAGGUAUAUGUUUAUGCAGUCAUAUCGACGUGCUCGUUGACAAUUCGUAUAGAAUGUUUAUAUUCUUUAUAACUUUGCCAAGGAAUGUCUACUGUUAGACAUCUUGCGGGUACUUUGGUUAAGUACUAGAAAGCUCAUACACAGACACAUGCCCAACACAACA